AUUUCUUUAAGUUAUAAUUUAAAGUAUAACCUGCUCAAUGUAAUAUAAUAAAUAGCUGCAGAUAUAUCUGUACUAAGGUAGCAUAAUCAUUAGCCUUCUAAUUAAAGGAUAGAAUGAAUGGUUUAAACGAAGUAAAAACUGUUUUCUGUGCUUUAAACAAUUAAAUUCUAAUAAAAGUCAAAAUACUUUUCUAUUAAAGAAAGACGACAAGACCCUAAUAAACUUAACUUUUGGCUGGGGCGGCAAAAUAAUUAAAACUUAAUAUUAAAAAUAUAUUUCUAUAUUUAUUAUACUAAUAAUCAAGUUACUAUAGGGAUAACAGCGUUAUUUAAAUUUAAAGAUCUCAUUAAAAUUUAAAGUUUGCGACCUCGAUGUUGAAUUAAUUUUACUUUAUAAAGCAAAAUUUAUAAAAGAAGGCCUGU
rnacentral:rRNA from 1 species